AGGAAGAUAUAGUUAAAGGUAUAAUGAUAGCCAAGAAAAUUAUGGUUGACAAUAUUAGAUAUCUUUUCCGUCUCCUGUUUUUUCUUUCUGUUCUUUCUCCAUCUUCUUCCAC
rnacentral:tRNA from 13 species